rnacentral:rRNA from 1 species
GGGAAUUAGGUCGGCGGUGAAAUUUCGGGGCUCAACCUCGACAGUGCCGUUGAAACCGUUUCUCUUGAGUGCGGAUGAGGUAGGCGGAAUUUGUGGUGUAGCGGUGAAAUGCGUAGAUAUCACAAGGAACACCGAUUGCGGAGGCAGUUUACUAAACCGUUACUGACGCUCAUGCACGAAGGCGUGGGGAUCAAACAGGAUUAGAUACCCUGGUAGUCCACGCAGUAAACGAUGAUUACUUGCUGUUUGCGAUACACAGUAAGCGGCGUAGCGAAAGCGUUAAGUAAUCCACCUGGGGAGUACGUUCGCAAGAAUGAAACUCAAAGGAAUUGACGGGGGCCCGCACAAGCGGAGGAACAUGUGGUUUAAUUCGAUGAUACGCGAGGAACCUUACCCGGGCUUGAAAUGCAUUCGACUGGGUCGGAAACGGCCUUUCCCUUCGGGGCGGAUGCGUAGGUGCUGCAUGGUUGUCGUCAGCUCGUGCCGUGAGGUGUCGGCUUAAGUGCCAUAACGAGCGCAACCCCUGUCGUCAGUUGCCAUCGGUAUAGGCCGGGGACUCUGGCGAGACUGCCAUCGUAAGAUGCGAGGAAGGUGGGGAUGACGUCAAAUCAGCACGGCCCUUAUGUCCGGGGCGACACACGUGUUACAAUGGGCGGUACAGCGGGAAGCUACCCGGCGACGGGGAGCCGAUCCCGAAAUCCGCUCACAGUUCGGAUCGGAGUCUGCAACUCGACUCCGUGAAGUCGGAUUCGCUAGUAAUCGCGCAUCAGCCACGGCGCGGUGAAUACGUUCCCGGGCCUCGUACACACCGCCCGUCAAGCCAUGGAAGUCGGGGGUACCUGAAGUUCGUAACCCUUCGGGGAGCGACCCAGGGUAAAACCGGUGACUGGGGCUAAGUCGUAACAAGGUAACCGUA